CACUGCGCAGGCAUCUGUAAACAGUGCAUGGGCAUGUGUGCUCACUGUGUGCACAGGCGUCUGUAAACUGCACGGGCGUGUGUGCUGUGUGUGUGCAGGCGAGCGUAAACAGUGCACGGAUGCGUGUGCUCACCGUGUGCGCAGGCGAGUGUAAGUGCACGGGUGUGUGUGCUGUGCGCAGGCGAGUGUAAACUGCACGGGCGCGUGUGCUCACCGUGUGCGCAGGCGAGUGUAAACAGUGCACGGGUGCGUGUGCUCACUGUGCGCAGGCGUCUGUAAACAGUGCACGGGCGUGUGUGUGCUCACUGCGCAGGCGAGUGUAAACUGCACGGGCGCGUGUGUGCUCACUGUGUGCGCAGGCGAGCGUAAACUGCACGGGCACGUGUGCUCACUGCGCAGGCGAGCGUAAACAGUGCACGGGCGCGUGUGUGCUCACUGUGUGCGCAGGCGAGUGUAAACUGCACGGGCACGUGUGCUUACUGUGCACAGGCGAGUGUAAACAGUGCACGGGCGCGUGUGCUCACUGUGUGCGCAGGCGAGUGUAAGUGCACGGGCGUGUGUGCUCACUGCGCAGGCGAGUGUAAACUGCACAGGCGCGUGUGUGCUCACUGUGCGCAGGCGAGUGUAAACUGCACGGGCGCGUGUGUGCUCACUGCGCAGGCGAGCGUAAACAGUGCACGGGCGCGCGUGUGCUCACCGUGCGCGCAGGCGAG
rnacentral:lncRNA from 1 species